rnacentral:rRNA from 1 species
AACGAACGUUAGCGGCGCGCUUAACACAUGCAAGUCGAGCGAGAAGGGGGCAACCCCAGUAAAGCGGCGCACGGGUGAGUAACACGUAGGUAAUUUACCUCGAGGUGGUGGAUAACCUUCCGAAAGGAGGGCUAAUACAGCAUGAGACCACGUCUUCGAAAGAGGAUGAGGUUAAAGCGGGCCUCUAUACAUAAGCUCGCGCCACGAGAUGAGCCUGCGGCCCAUCAUGGUAGUUGGUAGGGUAAUGGCCUACCAAGCCGAAGACGGGUAGCUGGUCUGAGAGGAUGAUCAGCCACACUGGAACUGAGACACGGUCCAGACUCCUACGGGAGGCAGCAGUGGGGAAUCUUGCGCAAUGGGCGAAAGCCUGACGCAGCCAUGCCGCGUGAGUGAUGAAGGCCUUAGGGUUGUAAAGCUCUUUCAGUGGGGAUGAUAAUGACAGUACCCACAGAAGAAGCCCCGGCUAACUUCGUGCCAGCAGCCGCGGUAAAG